rnacentral:rRNA from 1 species
CCAAUAGCGUAUAUUAAAGUUGUUGCAGUUAAAAAGCUCGUAGUUGAAUUUCGGGAUCAAUCUAUCGGUCGUGCAAUAGUACGUACUGAUUUUAUUGAUUCCUCCCUUCUGAUGAACUAUGAUGUCAUUAAUUUGGUGUUAUAGGGAAUCAGGACUGUUACUUUGAAAAAAUUAGAGUGUUUAAAGCAGGCUCACGCUUGAAUACAUUAGCAUGGAAUAACGGAAUAGGACGUUUGAUUCUAUUUUGUUGGUUUCUAGGAUCGACGUAAUGAUUAAUAGGGAUAGUUGGGGGCAUUAGUAUUCAAUUGUCAGAGGUGAAAUUCUUGGAUUUAUUGAAGACUAACUACUGCGAAAGCAUUUGCCAAGGAUGUUUUCAUUAAUCAAGAACGAAAGUUAGGGGAUCGAAGACGAUCAGAUACCGUCGUAGUCUUAACCAUAAACUAUGCCGACUAGGGAUCGGAUGAUGUUAAUUUUUUAAUGACUCAUUCGGCGCCUUACG